AACUGUCAGUCAACCUGUCAGUCAACAGGCAGAGGGCUGCAUUCCUUCGUUCGUAUGUUCCUUGGUUCAUUCAUUCAGAGACCUCCGAAGUGUUUCUUGAGGAAAUGUGGCUGCAGACCCUAGAAGAAGCUACACAGCACUUGCCAGGGCUGGGAUGAUGUCCAGGCCAUGGAAACACCGUGUACCUGGUCCCAGGAAGAUGAAGUGUGGGCCCAGAGACUAAUGGCUUGAGCAUCUCAGGCUAAGGUUGCCGAGAAGUAGACAGCACCUCUAGAUCCUAGUCAACAUCUCUACAGGCUUGAAGUCUCCCCAGAGGGCAAGGUUGGAAUAAAUCUGAAGCCUGUGGCUUGCCUGGGAGCUGCCCAGACUGUGGCAUCUGGGGAGUGACUUUUUAAUUUUAAUUUUAUUUUGAGACAGAGUCUUGCUCUGUCACACGGCUGGAGUGCAGUGGCGCAAUCUCAGCUCACUGAAACCUCCACCUCCUGGGUUCAAGCCAUU